AGAGUUUGAUCCUGGCUCAGAUUGAACGCUGGCGGCAUGCCUUACACAUGCAAGUCGAACGGCAGCACGGAGCUUGCUCUGGUGGCGAGUGGCGAACGGGUGAGUAAUAUAUCGGAACGUACCCUAGAGUGGGGGAUAACGUACCGAAAGUUACGCUAAUACCGCAUACGAUCUAAGGAUGAAAGUGGGGGAUCGCAAGACCUCGUGCUCGUGGAGCGGCCGAUAUCUGAUUAGCUAGUUGGUAGGGUAAAAGCCUACCAAGGCAUCCAUCAGUAGCUGGUCUGAGAGGACGACCAGCCACACUGGAACUGAGACACGGUCCACACUCCUACGGGAGGCAGCAGUGGGGAAUUUUGGACAAUGGGCGAAAGCCUGAUCCAGCAAUGCCGCGUGAGUGAAGAAGGCCUUCGGGUUGUAAAGCUCUUUUGUCAGGGAAGAAACGGUGAAAGCUAAUAUCUUUUGCUAAUGACGGUACCUAAAGAAUAAGCACCGGCUAACUACGUGCCAGCGGCCGCGGUAAUACAUAGGGUGCAAGCGUAAAUCGGAAUUACUGGGCGUAAAGCGUGCGCAGGCAGCUUUGUAAGUCUGAUGUGAA
rnacentral:rRNA from 1 species